GCACGACCCCAGGUCAGGCGGGCC
rnacentral:rRNA from 1 species